UACAGGGGGCCCGAGCGUUAAUCGGAAUCACUGGGCUUAAAGGGUGCGUAGGCGGGCUCGAAGGUGCAUUGUGAAAUCCCUUGGCUCAACCAAGGAAUUGCAGUGCAUACCACGAGUCUCGAGGUAGGUAGGGGUAGCUGGAACGCUCGGUGGAGCGGUGAAAUGCGUAGAUAUCGAGCGGAACGCCGAAGGUGAAGACAAGCUACUGGGCCUAUCCUGACGCUGAGGCACGAAAGCGUGGGUAU
rnacentral:rRNA from 1 species